UAAUGAUAAGUGUUAUCUUAUCCACCCAAAAAAAAUUAGUUUUCAAGGAUUACCUAUACGAAACUUACACUGAAAGGAUCGGAUUCAAGGAUUCCUAUAAAUAAAUAUACCUAGGAGAUAAUCGAUGCACUUACCUUGACACAGUCAUGAGAAUUUUUCUUGUAAGAAACCAUAAGCUUGUUAAUUUAGAACACAAUGUAUGAAGAAUUUUUCUCAGGAAGAAGAUGGUCAAUCAAUACUUAGAAUUUAAUAAUUGUAUUCCAGUUUCCCCAAGCUGGUUAGAUAUAAAACUGGUGAUGUAAAUUUAGAUAGAAAAAAAAAAUUUGUGAUGUAUCUCAAUUUGAAAGAUUUGAAGUAACUCGAUAAUAUUCAUCUGUGCACUAGCAAAUAGUUUAUUAAAUAGCAGAACUUUCCAUCAAACAUUUUCACAGACUUAAUAUGAGGGAGGUUUAUUGGGGUUAUAACCCCCAUCGAUUAAAAGAAAUAACAAAAUUUUCUAUUGCAACCAAAUCGUUAGAGAAUAAUAGAAGCACAUUCAAGAAUUCUAGUUUGUAGACACAUAACUUUUUAGUCCAUGGGUUGUGGGGAAUUAAUUUAAAUAACCGGAUUACUUAAUAUGUGGAUUAAUAAGAAAAUGGAAAAAUUACUUUAAUAAAUUUUUAAAUGUUAA